rnacentral:rRNA from 1 species
UACGUAGGGUGCUAGCGUUGUUCGGAAUCAUUGGGCGUAAAGCGCGUGUAGGCGUCAAAUAAGUCUGGUGUGAAAGCCCUGGGCUCAACCGAGGAAGUGCAUCAGAAACUAUUUGACUAGAAGACGGUAGAGGAAGGUGGAAUUCCAAGUGUAGAGGUGAAAACUCGUAGAUAUUUGGAGGAAUACCGGUGGCGAAGGCGGCCUUCUGGGCCGAUCUUGACGCUGAGACGCGAAAGCGUGGGGAGCAAACAGG